GCGGCGCUCAGAAUGGAGGCACUUGCCGUGUCCCGAUGGGAAAGUGCUUCCAUUUUGUGUGUCUCCGCGUGGG
rnacentral:miRNA from 1 species